rnacentral:tRNA from 1 species
GGGGAUGAAGCUCAGUGGUACAGCACUUGCCUGGCAUGCACCAGGCCCUGGGUUCAAUUCCCAGCACCACAA